UACGGGUGGAGCAAGCGUUGUUCGGAUUUACUGGGCGUAAAGGGCGCGUAGGCGGCCAGCACAAGUCAGUUGUGAAAUCUCCGAGCUUAACUCGGAAAGGUCAACUGAUACUGUGCGGCUAGAGUGCAGAAGGGGCAACUGGAAUUCUUGGUGUAGCGGUGAAAUGCGUAGAUAUCAAGAGGAACACCUGCGGCGAAGGCGGGUUGCUGGGCUGACACUGACGCUGAGGCGCGAAAGCUAGGGGAGCGAACGGG
rnacentral:rRNA from 1 species